AACUGAUGCAAUCCAUUGUUGCAAUUAUUUCUAAAUGCAUAAAAUGUAUUUAGAAAUAAUUGCAACAAUGGAUUGCAUCAGUUUU
rnacentral:sRNA from 1 species